AGCAGUAGCCGCGGUAAUACGGAGGGUGCAAGCGUUAAUCGGAAUUACUGGGCGUAAAGCGCACGCAGGCGGUCUGACAAGUCAGAUGUGAAAUCCCCGGGCUUAACCUGGGAACUGCAUUUGAAACUGUCAGGCUGGAGUCUUGUAGAGGGGGGUGGAAUUCCAGGUGUAGCGGUGAAAUGCGUAGAGAUCUGGAGGAAUACCGGUGGCGAAGGCGGCCCCCUGGACAAAGACUGACGCUCAGGUGCGAAAGCGUGGGGAGCAAACAGGAUUAGAUACCCGUGUAGUCCCUGUCUCUUAUAA
rnacentral:rRNA from 1 species